UCCAGUUUUGACUCUCCCAGCCUCAAGAGCCUGCCAGAGAAAAGGCACCUAAAUCUAAUGCUACACAGAGAAGCGGAGCCUCCAUCUUGCGCUGCUCUGCGUUCUCCAUUUUGGGCCACCCUUGGGGGGAGGGGGGUGGUCUCCGUAGAGGCCCCGAGGGAGAGUGGGGCGAGGGAAGGAAGAGAAAAUCUUCAGGGAGGGUAGUCGAAAAGAAGAGUCCUGCGGUAGAAAGCCACUCUAGGAGUAGGAGUUUCCCGGCCCUUCGACUGCCAGGCUCUUUUUACGCGGGGGAGAUAAACUCGGGGAUGGCCUGUCCCCUUCGAAGCGUCGCUUUUCCUAGGACAGGAAGAAGUGACCUAUUACAGUUGUCUCCAUUGCUGUUAUAGAAGUUUCCACAUUCAUACAGUCGUUUAGUUAAGA